AUUGAACGCUGGCGGCAGGCCUAACACAUGCAAGUCGAGCGAGCGGCGGCCUGGUGAGUAAUGUCUGGGAAACUGCCUGAUGGAGGGGGAUAACUACUGGAACCGUUGGCUAAUACCGCAUACCAUCAUAUGUGCCCAGAUGGGAUUCGCUAGUAGGUGGGGUACUGGCUCACCUAGGCGACGGUCCCUAGCUGGUCUGAGCGGAUGACCAGCCACACUGGAACUGAGACAAGGUGCAGACUCCUACGUGAGGAAGCCGGGGGGAAUGUUGCGAAAUGGGAGAAAGCAGGAUGCAUGCAUGCCGCGUGAGUGAAGAAGGCGGUAGGGUUGGAAAGCACUAUCAGCGAGGCGGCGGUACGCGGAGAAGAAGCACCGGCUAACUCCGUGCCAGCAGCCGCGGUAAUUC
rnacentral:rRNA from 1 species